UACAGAGGUCCCAAGCGUUACUGAGAAUCACUGGGUUUAAAGGGUGCGUAGGUGGUCCGUUAAGUCAGUUGUGAAAUCCCCGGGCUCAACCCGGGAACUGCUUCUGAUACUGGCGGACUUGAGGCCAGUAGGGGUCACUAGAACUGACGGUGGAGCGGUGAAAUUCGUAGAUAUCGAGAGGAACACCGGUGGCGAAGGCGGCCUUCUGGACAGUGACUGACGCUGAGACGCGAAAGCGUGGGGAGCAAACAGG
rnacentral:rRNA from 1 species